UGGUUACGGGCGUAUAGCUGAGCGAGACCGAGGAUGAUCCGCUGUUUCCGACGUGCGCGAUAGGUCCAGUUAUUUCGAUGUGAACCUCUCCGGUCUCGUUCGUUCUGAUCGAGAUUCUGUCGACGAGGCGNNNNNNNNNAUGUAGCCACGGUCUGAGCCAAUUCUGCUCCGCAGCCGCGGUAAUUGCGGCCAGGCACCAG
rnacentral:misc_RNA from 1 species